rnacentral:snRNA from 1 species
AGAUGUGAGGGCAAUCUGGCUGUGAUGUCUGGCCCUGCAUUGAUCUCCAGAGUUGAUUCUGCUGUUCUGGCUGGCAAAGCAGGUGUCCUCUUCCCCACCCACCGCUCUAUGUGUGUCCCUCCUGAAGCAGCCACACUUGGUCAAAGAGCCAAGAUUCUUCCCGCUAGAGGCGGACUGACUGGUCUUUGGUCAAGGGAACACAGAUAGCUGCCUUCUGCUAGGCUCUCCAAACUCUCAAAUUAUUGUUAUUCUAUUGGGAUUACAGGUGUGAGGAAGGUUCUGUCGAUGUCAUGAAAUGACAAAUUUCUGUUGUCCAUU